CUGCAUUAUACUUGGACUUUGUGAUUGAAAUGGAGUCUUGCAGAAGUGAACUCCCAGGAAUGAACUAAGUUACCAAACAGAUACAAAGAAGGAAGUAUAAGAAAAGUUGGAGGCAGCAGCUUACUUCCCUGUCUCAAGAAAAAUGCUAACCCCUACAUAAGGACUGGUCUUCACUAACUGCACAGUGGUCAUUUGCUGAGGAUUGAGAGCCCCUGUGCGUUUGGUGACGAUUUUAACAAAGAGACCCAGGACAGGAGAUUGAAAGGUGCCUGUUGUCCCAGACAUUCAAGAUCUUUUCACAGAGUGCUGGCCAUGAAGGAAUGUGGUCCAGUGA
rnacentral:lncRNA from 1 species